rnacentral:rRNA from 1 species
UACGUAGGUGGCAAGCGUUGUCCGGAAUUAUUGGGCGUAAGGCGCACGUAGGUGGCGACGUAAGUCGGGUGUGAAAGCCCCGGGCUCAACCUGGGAAUUGCAUUCGAGACUGCAUUGCUGGAGUACGGAAGAGGAGGGCGGAAUUCCCGGUGUAGCGGUGAAAUGCGUAGACAUCGGGAGGAACACCAGCGGCGAAGGCGGCGCUCUGGGCCGGAACUGACGCUGAGGAGCGAAAGCGUGGGUAGCAAACAGG